UACGUAGGCAGCAAGCGUUGUUCGGAGUUACUGGGCGUAAAGGGUGCGUAGGCGGCUUUUUAAGUUUGGUGUGAAAUCUCCCGGCUCAACUGGGAGGGUGCGCCGAAUACUGAGAGGCUAGAGUGUGGGAGAGGAAAGUGGAAUUCCUGGUGUAGCGGUGAAAUGCGUAGAUAUCAGGAGGAACACCGGUGGUGUAAACGGCUUUCUGGACCAUAACUAACGCUGAGGCACGAAAGCUAGGGGAGCAAACAGG
rnacentral:rRNA from 1 species